CCUACGGGUGGCAGCAGUGGGGGAUAUUGGACAAUGGGGGGAACCCUGAUCCAGCGACGCCGCGUGAGUGAAGAAGUCUCUCGGUAUGUAAAGCUCUAUCAGCAGGGAAGAAGACAUGACGGUACCUGAGUAAGAAGCCCCGGCUACCUACGUGCCAGCAGCCGCGGUAAUACGUAGGGGGCAAGCGUUAUCCGGAAUUAAUGGGUGUAAAGGGAGCGUAGACGGGGAUGUAAGGCUGGAGUGAAAGGCGAGGGCGCAACCCGCGGACUGCUCUGGACACUAGGGAACUGGAGUGCAGGAGAGGUGAGCGGAAUGCAUGGUGUAGCGGUGAAAUGCGUAGAGAUUAGGAGGAACACCAGUGGCGAAGGCGGCUCACUGGACUGUAACUGACGUUGAGGCUCGAAAGCGUGGGGAGCAAACAGGAUUAGAUACCCGAGUAGUC
rnacentral:rRNA from 1 species